CCUACGGGAGGCAGCAGUGUGGAAUAUUGCUCAAUGGGCGACAGCCUGACGCAGCGACGCCGCGUGAGGGAUGAAGGUUCUCGGAUCUUAAACCUCUAUCAGAAGGGAAGAAAUUAUAUCAUGCUAAUCAGUGUUGUAUUGACGGGACCUUCAAAGGAAGCACCCGCUAACUCCGUGCCAGACGCCGCGGUAAUACGGAGGGUGCGAGCGUUAAUCGGAAUUACUGUGCGUAAAGCGCACGUAGGCUGUAUGACAAGUCAAGGGUGAAAUGCCACGGCUCAACCGUGGAACUGCGUUUGAAACUGUCAACAUGGAGAAUGUGAGAGGGAGGCGGAAUUCGUGGUGUAGGAGUGA
rnacentral:rRNA from 1 species